rnacentral:lncRNA from 1 species
CCAACACAAAGCAUGAAAUUUACUUGUGAACAAAUCAUCAAAGUGUGCAUUAUUACUUGAAGCCAAAACAACAAUCAAGAUAAAGGAGACCAUUUGCCCCACACAAGAAAGCCCAAAAACACAACAAAAAGGCACCCAUAGGAUCAACAAACACCCCCCCCACUUAAAAUCUAGCACUGUCCUCAGUGCUCGCAAAAAUAGGGGUGAAAGAGAAAAACUUCCCUGAAUAUCGAUCCAAGUGGCGAGCCGUAGUUUCCCACGAUGUCUGCCUAUCUCUCAUCCAUAGAACAAGCAGUCUCCAACGCAACAACCUGCACCAAACAACAGAAGCAACAAAACACAACACAAACAAAACGAAAGAAAAACGAAACAAGAAAAAGCAAGAAAACAUGGGUUGCCUCCCAUGCAGCGCUAGUUUUUAAGUCGCCAGCCCGACUAAGAGAACCCCUUAACCAAAAUCCGAUUGAAGCUCCAGCUGCCUUAGCGCCCUUGUAAACACAUCUUCUUGAGUUGCAGCUGCGGGUCCUCCAAAUGAGU